AUUGAACGCUGGCGGCAUGCCUUACACAUGCAAGUCGAACGGCAGCACGGGUGCUUGCACCUGGUGGCGAGUGGCGAAAGGGUGAGUAAUACAUCGGAACAUGUCCUGUAGUGGGGGAUAGCCCGGCGAAAGCCGGAUUAAUACCGCAUACGAACUACGGAUGAAAGCGGGGGACCGUCGGGCCUCGCGCUAUAGGGUUGGCCGAUGGCUGAUUAGCUAGUUGGUGGGGUAAAGGCCUACCAAGGCGACGAUCAGUAGCUGGUCUGAGAGGACGACCAGCCACACUGGGACUGAGACACGGCCCAGACUCCUACGGGAGGCAGCAGUGGGGAAUUUUGGACAAUGGGCGAAAGCCUGAUCCAGCAAUGCCGCGUGUGUGAAGAAGGCCUUCGGGUUGUAAAGCACUUUUGUCCGGAAAGAAAUCCUUGGCCCUAAUACGGUCGGGGGAUGACGGUACCGGAAGAAUAAGCACCGGCUAACUACGUG
rnacentral:rRNA from 1 species